rnacentral:tRNA from 1 species
UGGGCUGUCGCCAAGUGGUAAGGCAACUGGUUUUGGUCCCGUCAUUCGUAGGUUCGAAUCCUGCCAGCCCAGCCA